CGGGUGAGUAAUGCGUGACCAACCUGCCCCAUGCUCCAGAAUAGCUCUUGGAAACGGGUGGUAAUGCUGGAUGCUCCAACUUGACGCAUGUCUUGUUGGGAAAGUGUUUAGUGGCAUGGGAUGGGGUCGCGUCCUAUCAGCUUGUAGGCGGGGUAAUGGCCCACCUAGGCUUCGACGAGUAGCCGGCCUGAGAGGGCGGACGGCCACAUUGGGACUGAGAUACGGCCCAGACUCCUACGGGAGGCAGCAGCC
rnacentral:rRNA from 1 species